rnacentral:lncRNA from 1 species
CCUUACAGUAGAUUUGCAUUUUAGUAUCAAAAUAAAUAUAUAGUGAGCGAAUCCUAGAGGUUAUAUAAAUUCUCUUUUUUAAUCUAUAUCAUAUAAGAAUCACACACAAUCAUGUCUUGCGAGAAAACACCAUCAGGUUGAAAUUAAACAAAAAAUAUUUUAAGUUAGCUUUAUUCAAAAUGACCUGGUUCAACCUACAAUUUUAAUUUAAAAAGGGCUAUAG